UACGUAGGUGGCAAGCGUUGUCCGGAUUUACUGGGCGUAAAGAGCGCGCAGGCGGUCGUGCAAGUCGCGUGUGAAAGCCCCCGGCUCAACCUGUGAAUGCCGCUGGAAACUGUCUGGCUAGAGUCCGGAAGGGCGAGUGGAAUUCCUGGUGUAGCGGUGAAAUGCGCAGAUAUCAGGAGGAACACCGGUGGCGAAGGCGGGUCUCUGGGCCGAUACUGACGCUGGAGGAGCGGAAAGCGUGGGGAGCGAACAGG
rnacentral:rRNA from 1 species